AUACUUUGUCAAUUAAGGAAGAAAAGAGAGCGUGAUGAUUGGAUGUUCACGCUAUUGCGUGACAUGUGCCUCCCCACUAAACCUUGUUAGGACACUGGCACAUUACCCGUCUGACG